AUUGAACGCUGGCGGCAUGCUUUACACAUGCAAGUCGAACGGUAACAGGUCUUCGGAUGCUGACGAGUGGCGAACGGGUGAGUAAUGCAUCGGAACGUGCCCAGUCGUGGGGGAUAACGCAGCGAAAGCUGCGCUAAUACCGCAUACGAUCUAUGGAUGAAAGCGGGGGACCGUAAGGCCUCGCGCGAUUGGAGCGGCCGAUGUCAGAUUAGGUAGUUGGUGGGGUAAAGGCCCACCAAGCCAACGAUCUGUAGCUGGUCUGAGAGGCCGACCAGCCACACUGGUACUGAGACACGGCCCAGACUCCUACGGUAGGCAGCAGUGGGGAAUUUUGGACAAUGGGCGCAAGCCUGAUCCAGCAAUGCCGCGUGCAGGAAGAAGGCCUUCGGGUUGUAAACUGCUUUUGUACGGAACGAAAAGACUCUGGUUAAUACCUGGGGUCCAUGACGGUACCGUAAGAAUAAGCACCGGCUAACUACGUGCCAGCCGCCGCCGUAAAAC
rnacentral:rRNA from 1 species